rnacentral:rRNA from 1 species
AGAAGCUUGCUUCUCUUGAGAGCGGCGGACGGGUGAGUAAUGCCUAGGAAUCUGCCUGGUGGUGGGGGAUAACGUUCGGAAACGGACGCUAAUACCGCAUACGUCCUACGGGAGAAAGCGGGGGAUCUUCGGACCUCGCGCCAUUAGAUGAGCCUAGGUCGGAUUAGCUAGUUGGUGAGGUAAUGGCUCACCAAGGCGACGAUCCGUAACUGGUCUGAGAGGAUGAUCAGUCACACUGGAACUGAGACACGGUCCAGACUCCUACGGGAGGCAGCAGUGGGGAAUAUUGGACAAUGGGCGAAAGCCUGAUCCAGCCAUGCCGCGUGUGUGAAGAAGGUCUUCGGAUUGUAAAGCACUUUAAGUUGGGAGGAAGGGCAGUAACCUAAUACGUUAUUGUUUUGACGUUACCGACAGAAUAAGCACCGGCUAACUUCGUGCCAGCAGCCGCGGUAAUACGAAGGGUGCAAGCGUUAAUCGGAAUUACUGGGCGUAAAGCGCGCGUAGGUGGUUCAGUAAGUUGGAAGUGAAAUCCCCGGGCUCAACCUGGGAACUGCUUUCAAAACUGCUGAGCUAGAGUACGGUAGAGGGUGGUGGAAUUUCCUGUGUAGCGGUGAAAUGCGUAGAUAUAGGAAGGAACACCAGUGGCGAAGGCGACCACCUGGACUGAUACUGACACUGAGGUGCGAAAGCGU